CAGGCAAGAUCAGGUGGGACCAUUCUAGCCAAUGAAAGUGCAGCACCAUCAGCUGUCCAUUUCCAAUUGAUUGUGCCGCGACUGCUGCUUCAAGUUUCAGCACCACAAUCAUUCUGGAGUCUCAAGCAGAGACGGAAGAGGAAGCAAGAUGUUCACUCCCUCAAUGGUUCUGUUUCAAUGGAAGUCAAGGACUAAGCAGACAGCUAUCGCAUUGGUGUCUAUGGAGAACACCCCCCCCCCACCCCUCCGCCCCCCUUAAGCAG